rnacentral:lncRNA from 1 species
CUUGUAUACUCUAAUACUCCGUACAAGCUUUUUGGUACCUAAACUUUCUUCCCUCUUUAGGGUGUUCAAAAGUCUAGUAAGCUUUGAGGGUGGAUUUAGAUUUUCGAGAAAGGAAGAUUUUCUGGAUUCCAAGAAUUCUUCAAGGAAGGCAGUUCUUGUUAUUAAUAAUGUGCCAAAAUUUCGUAUCAUUCUACUCUUUAGCCUUUUUCAUAAAAUUGACAAUACUCUCAAAGAUGGGGAGAUUAGGAGAACAAACUUGCUCAACAAAGGAUUUAGACUCCGGGUGAGCCUCCAAGCUGCUCCAAAUCUGAAGGGUCUCCAAUGAUCCAAUGAUUCUUGACUGUUCCCAAGCUUAUUUUAAUAAGGUAGUGGUCAUGGUAGCACUCGGUAAGGGUGUUAAACUCCAUAUCCUAGAAGAGAAUAUGACUCAGAAAUGAAGUAAACUUAUGAAGCCUCACUUUCGCAGAGCCUUUCGUCCAGGUAGACCCGGGUCCUUUAAGAUCCCAAUUGAUGAACCCAUAUUCUUCUAUAUCAAAGUGGAAGAUGUAAGCUUGUCUAUCAUAAUCAAUGGAACCCUCAAUUUGGUCCACCGGAGAAGCAAAUGUCAUUUGAAUUACCAACAAGGAUCCAUGGAUCAGAAAUAGCAUGAUCCAAAUCCUUAAGGUGGUUCCGAAGCUUACCAGCAAGGAUUCAUGAAGGCUAGCAUGAACCGAAAUGAAGAUUCAUUUGAAAUUAUUAUGGGAAAUUUUACAGUGAAUACAUUGUUUUAGGGCUUGUACAAUUUAAAUAGAGUAAGAUUGCCUUAAUACUCAAAUUCUCUCAGAAAAGCUAAUCGCAUUAGGACGAACAAACUGCCGAAAACCCAAUUUAUUUAUGAAAUUAUUUGCAUAUCUGCUAUUUGUGGAAUUCAUAACUAGAUAAGAUCUAGUUAAAUUGCUAAUCACAUCAGAUCAAAAAUAAUAAGUAGGAAGAAAAUCCCGGAAUUCAUCGUCGCUGGAUUUAUUAGUUAACUACGCAGAUAAAGUUUAACCAAAUCGGAUGAAAAAACCCUAAAAUUCAACGGAAGGAAAAAACAAAAACUUGAUGAAGAGAAUAAGAACAAAAAUGUGGGUCUAAACCAGGCCCCCUAAUCAAAGCCCCAGGAAGAAGCUCAUAGGGAGCAGACAUGUCGACCCUUUGGAGUCCCUCUCCGUGCACACUACCAUGCUUCCUUCAUCCUUUAUUCCAGAGCAUCGGCUUAUUGUACACGGUUUUAAAUCAAACACAUUCAGUAUCACAUGCACAUAAAACCCCACAAUCAGAGAAGAUCAAAACUUGAGAAAAUAACUCCAAAAUAGAAGAGUUAUGGAGCCUACCGACUGAAAUCCUGAAUCUGCCGGAAGCCCUGACGAAGAUGAAUGCCCCUUUUGGUGAGUAUUUAUAGCGGAGACACUCAUUUUAGGGUUUUUCCCCCUAUUUCGAAGUUGUAAAAUACCAAAAAGGCCAUCACCAUAACUUUGAAAUUACAAAAAUGCCUUAGCCCAAUCGUUUGAUGGCCUAGAAGUUUGAAGCAGAAGAAGUGCAAAUUCUGAUUGGAUAUAUUUGUGGAAUUCAUAGCCCUUCUUUGCCCUGUCACUUCCCAAAGACAUCUUAGGGCUUCUCCUUUCCUCAAUUUCCAAGUU